rnacentral:rRNA from 1 species
UACAGAGGACUCGAGCGUUAGGCGGAAUCACUGGGCUUAAAGCGUGUGUAGGCGGAUGCCUAAGUGCUUUGUGAAAUCCCACGGCUCAACCGUGGAAUUGCUUGGCAUACUGGGUGUCUUGAGCCAUCUAGGGGCGAGCGGAACAAGUGGUGGAGCGGUGAAAUGCGUAGAUAUCACUUGGAACGCCAACGGUGAAAACAGCUCGCUGGGGAUGUGCUGACGCUGAGACACGAAAGCCAGGGGAGCGAACGGG